GGUGCGUAACGCGUAGGAAUAUACCUGGUAGUGGGGGGCAACCCGGCGAAAGCCGGGCUAAUACCGCAUACGAUCUACGGAUGAAAGCAGGGGACCGCAAGGCCUUGCGCUAUCAGAUUAGCCUGCGUCGGAUUAGCUAGUUGGUGAGGUAAAGGCUCACCAAGGCAACGAUCCGUAGCUGGUUUGAGAGAACGACCAGCCACACUGGGACUGAGACACGGCCCAGACUCCUACGGGAGGCAGCAGUGGGGAAUAUUGGACAAUGGGGGCAACCCUGAUCCAGCAAUGCCGCGUGUGUGAAGAAGGCCUUCGGGUUGUAAAGCACUUUCGAUGGGGAAAAACAAGCCAGACCUAACACGUCUGGCCCUGAUGGUACCCAGAGAAGAAGCACCGGCUAACUCUGUGCCAGCAGCCGCGGUAAUACAGAGGGUGCAAGCGUUAAUCGGAAUUACUGGGCGUAAAGGGUGCGUAGGUGGUUUGUUAAGUCAGGCGUGAAAUCCCUGGACUCAACCUGGGAACUGCGUUUGAUACUGGCAGACUCGAGUCUGGUAGAGGGUAGUGGAAUUCCGCAUGUAGCGGUGAAAUGCGUAGAUAUGCGGAGGAACAUCAGUGGCGAAGGCGGCUACCUGUACCAAGACUGACACUGAGGCACGAAAGCGUGGGGAUCAAACAGGAUUAGAUACCCUGGUAGUCCACGCCCUAAACGAUGGGUACUAGACGUUGGAGGUUUAUCCUCUUGUGUCGCAGCUAACGCAAUAAGUACCCCGCCUGGCGAGUACGGUCCGCAAGAUUA
rnacentral:rRNA from 1 species